rnacentral:rRNA from 1 species
UACGUAGGGUGCGAGCGUUGUCCGGAAUUAUUGGGCGUAAAGAGCUCGUAGGCGGUGUGUCGCGUCGGCCGUGAAAACCUGGGGCUUAACUCUGGGCGUGCGGUCGAUACGGGCAUCACUAGAGUUCGGCAGGGGAGACUGGAAUUCCUGGUGUAGCGGUGAAAUGCGCAGAUAUCAGGAGGAACACCGGUGGCGAAGGCGGGUCUCUGGGCCGAUACUGACGCUGAGGAGCGAAAGCAUGGGUAGCCAACAGG